rnacentral:sRNA from 1 species
UAGAAUGGUAAAUUAUAUUGAUGAAAUAAGUUCUGAAUACAAUAGGCGGCAAUGCAAUCAAACCUUCCAAAGACAUAAGCCGGCGAGUACAUGUAGACUCCUAGAAACAAAAAUCUAAUUAAGAAAAAUUAAAGAGGAAAUAAACUCAAACAUACAAAUACACGCAUCUGAACCAAUCUUCUCGGAAUCCAAACUCAAAAAAUCAAAAAUAAAAUUACAAAGUCUAAAUCACCAUAAAAACAAACAGAUUCACACUAAGGAAAACAAAACCAACAAAACCAGGACUCUCUUUACCACAAACGGCGGUGAACAAACAAACACCCCGCGACCCAAAUGAUGAUGGUCAUAAGAAGAAGAAAGGAGAUCGAGAUCUUCAAAGGAGAGAAAUCUACUUCUGAAGGCGGUGAAAGAACUCGCCUCUGCCGAGGUUCGAACGGCCAGAACUGGUGCUGCACAUAAAAGGGACAAAAACAAGCAGCAAAAUCCAAAGACGAAAAAUUUAGAAAUUGUAGAUUUAGAUCUGAAAUUUUAGAUCUGAAACCGUUGGAAAAAAAAAAGGUUCAGAUCUGUCAGAGAGGAAGGAAAACAAAAACUAAACAUGAAGAAACCAAGAAAUUUCGGUUCUGGUGCUGAAAAAGUCACUGGGACCGAAACCCUAGCAACAACGGCGGCGACUUUGUUUUAUAGAGAGAAGGAGGAGCGUUUGUCCCUCCAUCUGCAAUAUCUAGAAAAGAUACUUAUUAUUAAAAUAAUAUAAAGUGGUG